CACAUCAUCGGCCUGCACUGCCGCCUUCGCAUACCCACGUUUCUCUCCCCACUUUGCCUGGUUUCCUCCAGAAAAAAGAAACAAUUCAUCUACACCUCGGACUAGAUUCGUUUGGCAGCCGGAGAUUUGCAACAAAAAAGGGAGACGAAGAGGAUAGGGUGAAAUCGGCGGCACCGCCGCCGCCGCUACCGGGCACGAGCAUGGAGGCGGCCGGGAUGGUGUGGUGCCGCCGCCGCUAUGGGACACAAGCACGGAGGCGGCUGGGAGUGUCGUGAGGGAGUUGGGAGAGGAACAGGGGGAGACGAUGGCGGCCUGAGGGUGCGGUGCUGGGCGCCAUGGGGUUCAUCAUCUCGCCGGCCUUGAGUGUCGCCGCUACGGGGCACGAGCAUGGAGGCGGCCGGGAUGGUGUGGUGCCGCCGCCGCUACGGGACACGAGCACGGAGGCGGCUGGGAUAGUGUGCUUAGGGAGUUGGGAGAGGAACAGGGGGAGACGAUGGCGGCCUGAGGGGGCGGCGCUGGGCGCCAUGGGGUUCAACAUCUCGCCGGCCUUGACUCGCGCACGUCUCGUUCCGCUCAGGGCACAUCCUGCCUCAGCAGCCACACCUGUCCCUCCAAGCACAGAGCUUGCUGCCCCCACCCCCGUACAAUGAAUGAGCAUGCCAAGGAGAGGAGCUCCCUGCGUAUGGGAGACCAGCCGCUCCCCAAUCUUCAGAUCUGACCAACGUGGGAGGAAUUGUUGGAGAACAACCAAAUCCAAAUGCCUCACCGAUGAGCACCAUCAUUACCUGAAGUUUGGAGAGUAUUACUAAUUGCUUUCUAUUCAUUAUUGCCUGAAGCGGGAGAACAAUUAGUUAUUUCUCCGGUAAUUGAUAGUUUUUAUAUUAUAUACUUGUGUUUUCUUUACUGUAGAGACCACUGAUUAUUCACCCAGAGUAUAAUGUUUGUGACUAACACCUAUUUAUCAACACAUGGGAUGACCAUGUCGUGGGUGAAGAAGUUUGCAAUGGAUCAACCUUGAAGACACUCGGAACAUUUACUUAGAGUGAAGACUCUCGCGGCGCAAUUGCCACUGUCCCGACCUCGCCGAUUGUUGACCUCGCUGGCUUGACAGCGUCCUUUGUGAUUCUGAACAUAGGUGCUACUCUCCUGGACACCGCCGACUCAGGUCCUACUCUCCUAGACGCCGCCAACUCAGGUGCCAUCUCCGUCCAAGAUUUCAUAAUAAUUUUUUAUGCAUCAAGACAUUCUUAUGUCUACAUGUAGCUUCUAUCAGGUUAUAUCUACAUGUAGCAUUGGAGAAUAUUAUGCUGAGUGGGCAAUAUCGGUGUUUGUCUGCACGCAUUAUUAUAUCCUCUUCUUAUCUCCCCCGCUUGUGCCACCGGAGAAUAUCAAGGAUGUGGCGUCGGCACUGAGCUGCCACUGGUAGGCAAGGGCAUGUGGCCUGGUUGUGAACGAUGAGAUUGGGGUCGGCACACACCAAAGCGACACACAUAGGCAGAGUUAUAUAAAAAAUAAGAAAUCCAUCUAAUUCUACUUGACAACCUUCCAACACGAGGUAACAUCAUUUGUGGCAUGGGUAUAUCUUAUAUCUACUAAAUAUCACUUCUAGAUAUUGGUGUUACGUACCAAGUGUAUACAUCUAUAUUGCCAAUGCUUCUGCGCUUUUGAUAAUUAGUCAAUAUUUUCAUGUAUUUGUUACAACAGUAUGGUGUUAGCAAGCGUAUUGUCUUAUGAAAAAUUGAUGAUUGCAUCUGCACUUCGUAUCUAAUUGUGUUAUUUCAGAGCUAAUAUUUUUACUAAUUAUUCUAUUCUUUCCACUUCUUGUAUAAACAGACCAGGACCAGUAUUCUGAACCUCAUACCAUUAAGGGCAUAUCUGUAUUCUAAAGAAAAUUCAUACACCUGGUAAUUCUUUCUUGACAUGGCUAUUCCAUCGAGGUUUAAUCCUAUGAUACACAACUAAUAGUUUGUUGGUAUGCAUAACUAUCUUGCCAAAGGUAUUGCCUGUGUAUAUCACUUUGUAGUUGAAAGUGUUUGCUGCAAUCAUUAUGAGCAUCAUGUUUGCCUUUUUGUGGAAACAUAGUGUAGAACUCUUCUUGCUACUAUCGUCAACUCUCAACGAGUCAGUGAUGGACAAGAUUAUUAUUCAUGUAUUUGAACAAUUGAUUCAGGGUCUAUUCAUAGAUGCGUUAAUUUGUUUUUGUAUGACUCCUUUGUUCCAUCAAUGUUUUUUACAUCCAAAUGAACUACACUAUUCUUAUACAAUCAAAUUAGAAUAUUUUGAUUUUUUAUGAUCACUUAAAUAAAUGAAUAUCCACGGUUAUUAGGGAGGGAUGGAGAGGGAGAGCGAGAUGGAGAGAUAGAGAGAGAGCACAUUUAAUAUUUGAUAGCUUCCCUUACUAAAUCACCUCUCUGAUGGAGCUGCAGUUUUGCAUGUUUAAAAUGAAUGAGUAUGUAAAGAUUAGCGACAUUUUCUUAAAUGCACCUGAAAUAUUUGCAUAAAAUGCUUUCCUAGGGCUGGUCAACUCUUUUUAUUUCUGUCAUAGUACACAUGUCUAACACCACAAAUUGCCAUAUGGUUUUCAAUGGUACAUGAGCUGUGAGUUGCCCUAUUAUUUUAAGAGUUCAUAAGUUGGGUUGACUGUGAGACUCUAAAUACAUGAUACAUGGUCUUGUACAAUUUAUAUUACUGUCCAUCGAAGUGUUUUAUACUCGUUAUUAAAGUUGCAGGUUAUUCCUUUGAAUGAUCUAAGAAAUAUAUUUGGAUUAGGGAAGCAUGAAGCACAAGGAAUCACCUCAGAUAUUGAAUCUCCAGCAUACAGAAAUAAGCUUAUAAAAUCCUUUAGUACUGAUUUGGCUGCUACUCCUAACAAAGUAUCAUUCCUCCAAAAUCUCUGUCAGGAGUUACAGUUUGAUCCUGAACUUGCUAGCAAGAUGCAUAAAGAUACCAAGCUGACACUUGUUUUUUGUAUUGCAUCAUUAAUUUUACAGCAUAGUUCUAUGUUAGCUCGAAAUUUGAUCUUGCUCCUGCUAGCAAGAUGUGUACCAUAUUAGCUACAGUUUGAAGGAUAUAAUCCUUUUGUUUCAAGACUGAUGGUUAAACAUUCCUCCAGUGUGAAAGUUAUUAUUUUCUGUUCAAAUAUCUUCGUUACAUUCCUUCGGUGUGAAAGUUAUUAGUUUCAGUUUGAAGGAUAUAAUUUUAACUAUAUGUAUUUGGCUAUCAAACAACUUUUCUGCUAUCCGAUUUUGUUUUUGCAAAAGUUGCUUCUGUUCUAUAUAGGUGUACAGUUUUCAUGCUAACUGGAAAGUACCAAAGUACCAAAGUUGUCUAUCCUAGCUGCACCAAACUACAUUUUCUUGUUUUAUUAAUAUGAGAUAUAUAAGAAAGUGCAGCGGGAAUGGUUUGUACUCAUGCUUGAUGAUAUUUGGCUUAGGCUCCUGGACUUCCUCAUGGCCACAGUGUAGAUGGGACACUUGUGGUUAUCUUCAUUUGUCAUUGGUGGUCAGAGAAACAAAACAAAGCUGGAGUGGAAGGUUGAAACAAAACAAAGUGUCUAGGACUAGGAGUUUCAAUACGUUGUUAAAAAUUGUGCCAAACAUUAAGGUUGGUUUCAAUUCCUUUGCAUAUGUGUUCAUCCUUCUAGCAUAAGAAAAAUAUGGUGCUUUGCUUGAAAAAUUUGUGGCUUAGUUCUGGAAGGCAUUAAGUUUCCAUACAUGCUGGUACUGAUCAAUCCAUCCCUCUGAAAACAUGAUACCCUCUUUCACAUGCUUCAAAUAAGCUAUGCACACGCCAUCUCGCCAGGCACUGAUAACAUGUUUCAUUUAAGAGAUCAUCUGAGAUUUGCAUAAUUGUUUUGAGAAUGGGCAGGGUAGCAUCAACACAGGCCUCGAUCAGUGUCGGGGCAACGGUGAAUCGACAAAGAAGGCAACUCGGGUAGGGUGGCGCAGGACAUCGACACCGGCCACGACCAACGUCAAUGUUUCAUUUAAGAGAUCAUCUGAGAUUUGCAUAAUUGUUUUGAGAAUGGGCAGGAUAGCAUCAACACUGGCCUCGAUCAGUGUCGCGGCAACGGUGAACCGACAAAGAAGGCAACUCGGGUAGGGUGGCGCAGGACAUCGACACCGGCCACGACCAACGUCAGAGGAUGGGUCGUUGGGACGGAAGGAUGAAGACAAAGAGGAUGAAGAAGAUGAUGAUCACAAAUUUUUUAUCACCGAUAAAAAACAGGCGACUGAUGCAUAGUUGCUCUCAUACUAUCCGCUAAAGAAAUUGAUAAGGACUUCACACAUGUCACUUAGUCAUCAGUUUGAUUUA